ACUCCUACGGGAGGCAGCAGUGGGGAAUAUUGCACAAUGGGGGAAACCCUGAUGCAGCCAUGCCGCGUGUGUGAAGAAGGCCUUCGGGUUGUAAAGCACUUUCAGUAGGGAGGAAGGUAGUGUAGUUAACACCUGCAUUAUUUGACGUUACCUACAGAAGAAGCACCGGCUAACUCCGUGCCAGCAGCCGCGGUAAUACGGAGGGUGCGAGCGUUAAUCGGAAUUACUGGGCGUAAAGCGCAUGCAGGCGGCCUGUUAAGUCAGAUGUGAAAGCCCGGGGCUUAACCUCGGAAUUGCAUUUGAAACUGGCAGGCUAGAGUCUUGUAGAGGGGGGUAGAAUUUCAGGUGUAGCGGUGAAAUGCGUAGAGAUCUGAAGGAAUACCAGUGGCGAAGGCGGCCCCCUGGACAAAGACUGACGCUCAGAUGCGAAAGCUGGGGAGCAAACAGGAUUAGAUACCCUGGUAGCUAC
rnacentral:rRNA from 1 species